GUGUAGGCGGGGGAAUGUGUCGGAAGUGAAAUCGUACGGCUUAACCGUAGCAAUGGCUUCCGAAACUGUUCCUCUUGAAUGCGGGAGAGGCAGAUGGAAUUCCUGGUGUAGCGGUGGAAUGCGUAGAUAUUAGGAAGAACAUCGGUGGCGAAGGCGGUCUGCUGGCCCGUGAUUGACGCUGAGGCGCGACAGUGUGGGGAGCAAACAGGAUUAGAUACCCUGGUAGUCCACACCGUAAACGAUGGUCACUAGCUGUCGGGGGAUUCGACCCCUUCGGUAACGACGCUAACGCAUUAAGUGACCCACCCGGGGAGUACGCUCGCAAGGGUGAAACUCAAAGGAAUUGACGGGGGCCCGCACAAGCGGUGGAGCAUGUGGUUUAAUUCGACGCAACGCGAAGAACCUUACCUGGGCUUGAACCGCCGGUUGUAAGAACCUGAAAGGGCUAUGACGCGCCGCAAGGCGCGAGCCGGCAGAGGUGCUGCAUGGCUGUCGUCAGCUCGUGUCGUGAGAUGUUGGGUUAAGUCCCGCAACGAGCGCAACCCUUGUCUUUAGUUGCCAGCGAGUCAUGUCGGGCACUCUAAGGAGACCGCCUCGGAUAACGGGGAGGAAGGUGGGGAUGACGUCAAGUCAGCAUGGCCUUUAUGUCCAGGGCUACACACGUGCUACAAUGGGCGGUACAGAAGGACGCGAACCCGCGAGGGGGAGCUAAUCCUGAAAACCGUUCUCAGUUCGGAUCGAAGGCUGCAAUUC
rnacentral:rRNA from 1 species